UUCAAUUUUGAGCAAUUUUUUGAAAAAAUUUAUUUGUUUUUCUAUAUCAGGACAAUUUAUUUAAAAUACGGCCUCCCCCCACCCCCUGUGAAUUAUGCAGCUAGCCAAUUUGAGGGAUUAGAAUUUAUAGCAGGGAGCAGCAGCAUUCAGUUAAUUUAAGUCGUAAUUCAGAUAUUACCUCCUUUCUUUCAACGGCUGUAUCCGAGGCAUACAGAAGUUCCCGGGUCAUGGAUUGAAUCUGAGCUGCAGCUGCGACCUACACUGAAGCUGUGGCAAUCCUUUAACCCACUGUGCCAGGCUGGGAAUAGAACCCACACUUACACAGUGACCUGAGCUGCUGCGAUUGGCUUCUUAACCCACUGCACCAGAGAAUUAGGAAAGUACUAGCAACCAUCACUGUGCAUACCUAUGACUUGUCCCCUUGGUGCACAUUUAUGAUGUCCUUCUUUGAGGAAUGUGGUUUCAGAGGUGGUAGAAAAUAGUCAUAUGAAUGACAAAAAAGUCACUUGAAUAUAAUUAUGAAAUGACUGCAUGACCAAGAAGGACUAACCCAGAGGAGAAGAAGGAAGAGAAACGUACUCCUGUCCUUCACAAACAGAGAGGAAGCGCCUUGGCUUAGUUAAACCCAAGUUGUCCCUUUGGGGUGCUGCCCAGUCAGUGUUUCAUUUGGAGGGGAUCUUUCCUUCUCCCCACUUGCUAUUCUUUCUUAGCUGCUGUGGAUUCUUGUCUUUCCCAUUUCCAGCACUACACUUCUGCCUGGUGGAUGUAUUAUUUGUAUGCCAUGCUGUCAUUUUUAGCUCAGCAUAUAUAAAAGCCAGCUUUUACCCUUGGUCACCUUGACCUGCAGAGCAGUGUCCCCAUUCUGAUUCCUUUUUCUGUUAAUUGUAUUACCCAGGAUCAAGACCUUGGCUUUUAUUUACUUGUACAGAUGUAUAUAAAGACAUCCAGAAAAACCCACCAUCCCAGAAACCUGGGCAUUGCCCAUGUGCCCCAGCAGGCCUGCUGUCCAAGGUUCAGAGGAAGCCAGGGGGGUCAGGGUCUAGAAGGAAAUGAGUGAAAUGAGCGUGGAGUGACCAGACCCAAGCUGUGGUACUCACAGGUGAAUUUAAUGUUGAACACCAAGUAGGAAGAUUUAUAUGCAAGUGAGCCAUGGCGGGGUGGGGAGUUGGAUGGGGCUUCAACACUCAUAGCUGGGUUCUAAAUAAGAUCAUCUUCACCAAGAGGAUCUGAAAGACUUGAAUCUUACUAGUGACUCAAAGAAUUCCUUUCAGCUAUUAAGCAAGGAACCUGAGACCUAGAGACAUAAUUUCCUUGCCCAAAGUCCCUGGACUUCUUAGACCUUCCUAGUGUUCCUUUCUCAUCACUUUGCUGGCUCCAUAUUUUGUUUAUCAAAUUUAUCUAUAUUCGUUGUACUGUGGUUUAUGUUAUUCUAGCAUCAUUAGCUUUAAGUGGUUUUAGAAAGGCUAUUUGCUCUUGAAGCCAAAGAAUAUCAUAAUUUAGCUCAACUGUAACAAACGAAAAUGCCAUCGCUAUAAAUAAUCUGUAAUGAUGUGCCUCCACCUGCCAACGUAUGGACAUUAAGCAUUUCAAAUAAGACUUCUUCUGUGGGCAUGACCAGGAUUUUAACUGAUUCAGUGGUAUCUGAGUUGCCGGCACUGUGUUGGAAUCAGCGUGAAUGAUAUUGGCUUCUAAGAUCUAUUGGAAAUACCUGUCUUCAUUUCAGAAAUGGGUGUAUGCUUACUGCAGUUUUUAAGUAAAAUAUUAAUUUUUAAUCCAUUAUCUCAAAGCCCUGAUUGUUUAUUCACAAGAUACCCUGUGGGAAAAAAAUUUGGUGUUGGAAAAGUAUUCAUACAAUUUUAACUUUCGUGUGGCAUUUUUAUGUUUUAUCCAGGUGAGGGGGAGCAUGGUGAAGCAGUUGUAGACUUCCUCACUGGGCUGCCCAUAAGAGAAUAAAUGAAAGAUUGAGGUUAUAUUGGGCUACUGCUUCGAACUAAUUUAAAAGAAUGGUUUAUUUUUUUGUUGUUGUUCAAAUAUAUCCAGACCUUUUAGCAUUUUAAGUACAGAAUUUAACCAAAAGAACUGUAGUAAAAUUACUUAGAAUUGUUUUUGCUCUUCAAAAGCCACAGUUACAGGAUGUAAGUAAUCUUUAGUUUAAAAUUGCCUCAUCAGGUGACACUUAAGAGCAGCCUGCGUCAACAGGAUUUCCUAAGGUGUUGGUGUGAAGAUGAACCACAGGCCCCCAUCAGUUUUCUUUUUACCAGAGGAUUGUUUUUCAGUCUUAAAAUGAAGAUUCCUACUCAUCAUCCCCCAUAGAGAUGUGUGGAGAAAUUUUCUGAAGGAGUACUUUGUGAUCUAUUUCCUCACUGUCUCAUACGGAGCUCCUGCAACAGGCGAGAUGUUUUGCUCACUAGGUAAGAAAUCAAAGGAGACAGUUCCUUGCUAAGGAGCUUUUAUUUAAGGAUCCACCUGUAAAAAACCCCUGGGUCUUAUCUGUCUUGAGUUUGUAAUCAAAGCAGAACAUCUUAACCAUAAUUAUCUUUGAAACUGUACGAACACCAUCAUUUCACUGCUGCCUGUUUUCCUCAUGGAUCCGUCUUCAGUUCUGUGUGUCUCAGAUUCCACCCAAGACCCAGGGUGGCAUCUGCUCAGGGCCUGAGAGUUGAAGGAUUGUGGUCAGCAUGUUCUGUAGAGGUAACCAAGUCCAAUCCCUUUAACUGAGCUUUUACUUUUCAAUGCUGUAGAAACCUUGCCUUUGCAAGUAGCAUAACCUAGAAUGACUCUGGAGAGGGUCAGGAGUCUUGGGGUUUGACUCUUGACUGGCUACCAAAUUUCUUUGUGACUUGAGGCAAGUCAUUUUCCUUUGGGGCGGGCCAGGUGGGGGGUGCGUUUCCUUGUCUUUAAAGAAGUUGGACCAAGUGAUUUUUUUUUUUUUUUAAAGUGCUUCCUACUCAGGUAGCUUAUGAUUCUAGAUCUGCAAUUCACAUCCCAUCUUAAUAACAUAGUAUCUUAACUGCACUUUGACCAUUUGCUGUUUUCUUGGGGUUGUCCUUAGAAGGAACAUACCCCAUCAUGUUUAGAAAUCCCCCCUUUCCAGGAUCUCUUAGUCCCCUGGAUGGAGUGAGCAGAGUUGCUUUCUCAGGCUGGGAAAGAUGUGGACUUUACUAAGUUCCUGGUCCACCCGCUCCUCUGCUCUCCAAAUGAAUUGCUCAUCAGAUCAGGAACUGGAGUAUGUGGGGAACCCCGUAAAGGCAGUAGCAUGACAUUUGGAGCAGAAUGAGCCAUCUGCAGCCGACUGUGGCAAGGUCUGGUGAAACUCUAGUGGGGUUCCAAGAAGGAAGUUCUCCUCCCCCGCAAGAACCGCGUGGCUUUUAACAUAAAGUCUAGCACCUUUAUUUUACCUAUUUAAAGCAAAAUAAGUCUUGAAAUUAGUAAACAUCAACACCAUCUCAACAGAACUCUAAGGAAAACUAGGUAGCCACAAAAUGAAUCUUAUAGUUCGCUCUGGAGUAAUUUCCCCUAGAAGAUUUGUGAAAACCGCAUUCAAGUUUAUGAAUCUUGAAUAUAUAGGAAUGUGUUAAGUUUGUCAGUGUGCCCUGAAUCUAGAGGUUAGAACAAGGCGAAUUCUGUUUACAGAUUAUUCUGUUGAAAUUUGAAUAUUUUCUGUGGAAUUUAAUAAUUAUUUCUGGUAGGAAAGCGGACAUUGAUAUUUGAUGCCAUUAUUCGAAUCAGUUGAGAAGCGAGCAUACACUGUAUAUUUAUCUCCAUGGACCUAGUACAAGAUCUAGUGUGGCACCGAUGGAUUUUCAUAAAGGAACGCAUGCUGGUAUCUAGCCCCCAGAUCAAGUGAGAGAGUUAUCAGUGUUCCAGAAGUCUCUUUGUGCCCCUUUCAGCUAAUCACUCACCCCACACCCAAGCUAACUACUACCCAGAUGUCUAGCACUGUAAUUUAGCUUUGCCUUUGUUGGAACUUUACAUACAAUGUACUCUCUUUGUGUUUGGCUUCUCUCACUCCAUGUUGCUCUCAAGAUGCACUGCAUCGUUGCUCAUAGCAACAGCACCUUCUGUAGCUAAAGAGCAGGGGCCAGCGAGCCAUGUGUGUGGCCCAGGGACCAAAUCUGGCUUUUGUUCACAGCACAUGGAUUAAGAAUGGUUUUUCCAUUUUUAAAGGAUUGUCAAGAAAAGAAGCAAACAGAGACUGGAUGGGGCCUGCAAAGCCUAAAAUAUCUACUCUCUAUCUCUUUGCAGAAAAAGCUUGGUGACCCCUGCUCUCUAGUAUUCCAUUGUAGAAAUGUGCCACAAUUCAUGUUUCAGUCCUAAUAUUGGUAGACAUGGCAGUUAUUUCCUGGCAUGGGCUAUUUUGAAUAGUGCUGUGAGGACCAUUGUCACAAGGUCCGUUGGUGCACAUAAGUACAGAUUGCUGUUACAUAAAUACCCUGAGGUGGAAAUGCUGCUCAUAGGGCUUGCAGGUGGUGGUCAGCUUUAGCAGAUACCACCAAACAUCUUGUGAAAGUGGUUGUACCAUUGGACUUUCCCAGCUACCAUGUUGGUAGUUCCAGUAACUCCUUUGCAACACUUGGUAUUGUCUGUCUUUUUAAUUUUAGCCAUUCUUGUGGGUUUUAGUGAUGAUACAUUAUGCUUUUUAAUUUACAUUUUUUUGGGAAUAACUAAGGUCUAGCAUCUUUUUGUAGGCUUCCAGGCCAUUUGAUACUCCCUAAUGUUAAAUGCCUACUCUAUUAUUAUUAUUGUUUUGUUACUAUUCUAUUGGGUUGUUUGCUUUUUUCUUUAUUGAUUGAUGAGAGUUCUUUAUGUAGUCUAGAUAUUAUAGAAUAUAUAAAUAUUAUGUAAUCUAAUAUUGUAUAUUCUAUAAUAUAUAGAUAUUAUAUAUUCUAGAUGUAAGUACUUUGUGUAUUUAUGGAUUAUAAAUAUCUUCUCCCAUUCUGUGACUUGCCUUUUUACUCCCUUAAUGAUGUCUUCUGAAGAACAGAAGUUCUUAAUUUUAUUUUAGUCUUGCUCAUCAGUAUUUUUAUCACCAGUGCUUUUUGUGGCCUAUUUAAGAAAAUCUUCAAAAAAAAAAAAAAAAAAA